rnacentral:rRNA from 1 species
CCUACGGGAGGCAGCAGUGGGGAAUUUUGGACAAUGGGGGCAACCCUGAUCCAGCCAUUCCGCGUGAGUGAAGAAGGCCUUCGGGUUGUAAAGCUCUUUCGCAAGGGAAGAAAACUUAUGAUCGAAUAAAUCAUGAGGUUGACGGUACCUUGAUAAGAAGCACCGGCUAACUACGUGCCAGCAGCCGCGGUAAUACGUAGGGUGCGAGCGUUAAUCGGAAUUACUGGGCGUAAAGCGUGCGCAGGCGGUUUUGUAAGUCGGAUGUGAAAUCCCCGGGCUCAACCUGGGAACUGCGUUCGAAACUGCAAGGCUAGAGUGUGUCAGAGGGGGGUAGAAUUCCACGUGUAGCAGUGAAAUGCGUAGAGAUGUGGAGGAAUACCAAUGGCGAAGGCAGCCCCCUGGGAUAACACUGACGCUCAUGCACGAAAGCGUGGGGAGCAAACAGGAUUAGAUACCCUGGUAGUCCACGCCCUAAACGAUGUCAACUAGUUGUUGGUAGAGUAAAAUCUAUGAGUAACGUAGCUAACGCGUGAAGUUGACCGCCUGGGGAGUACGGUCGCAAGAUUAAAACUCAAAAGUAGUAGUAGACGUCGUAGACGUGCGACGAGACACGACGGGAGGAGGAGG